rnacentral:rRNA from 1 species
AUUGAACGCUGGCGGCAGGCCUAACACAUGCAAGUCGAACGAGUGGCGGACGGGUGCGUAAUGUCUGGGAAACUGCCCGAUGGAGGAGGAUAACUACGGGACACGGUAGCUAAUACCGCAUACCAUCGGAUUUGCCCAGAUGGGAUUAGCUAGUAGGUGGGGUAACGGCUCACCUUGGCGACGAGCCCUAGCUGGUCUGAGAGGAUGACCAGCCACACUGGAACUGAGACACGGUCCAGACUCCGACGGGAGGCAGCAGUGGGGAAUAUUGCACAAUGGGCGCAAGCCUGAUGCAGCCAUGCCGCGUGAAUGAAGAAGGCCUUCGGGUUGUAAAGUACUUUUAGCGAGGAGGCGUUACUCGCAGAGGAAGCACCGGCUAACUCCGUGCCAGCAGCGGCGGUAAUUC